AACGAACGCUGGCGGCAGGCUUAACACAUGCAAGUCGAACGCCCCGCAAGGGGAGUGGCAGACGGGUGAGUAACGCGUGGGAAUCUACCCAUCCCUACGGAAUAACGCAUGGAAACGUGUGCUAAUACCGUAUACGCCCUACGGGGGAAAGAUUUAUCGGGGAUGGAUGAGCCCGCGUUGGAUUAGCUAGUUGGUGGGGUAAAGGCCUACCAAGGCGACGAUCCAUAGCUGGUCUGAGAGGAUGAUCAGCCACAUUGGGACUGAGACACGGCCCAUACUCCUACGGGAGGCAGCAGUGGGGAAUAUUGGACAAUGGGCGCAAGCCUGAUCCAGCCAUGCCGCGUGAGUGAUGAAGGCCUUAGGGUUGUAAAGCUCUUUCACCGGAGAAGAUAAUGACGGUAUCCGGAGAAGAAGCCCCGGCUAACUUCGUG
rnacentral:rRNA from 1 species